rnacentral:rRNA from 1 species
AACGAACGCUGGCGGCAUGCCUAACACAUGCAAGUCGAACGAGACCUUCGGGUCUAGUGGCGCACGGGUGCGUAACGCGUGGGAACCUGCCCUUAGGUUCGGAAUAACUCCCCGAAAGGGGUGCUAAUACCGGAUAAUGUCUUCGGACCAAAGAUUUAUCGCCUUUGGAUGGGCCCGCGUUGGAUUAGCUAGUUGGUAGGGUAAAAGCCUACCAAGGCGACGAUCCAUAGCUGGUCUGAGAGGAUGAUCAGCCACACUGGGACUGGGACACGGCCCAGACGCAGAGGGGAGGAAGGAGGGGGAAAUAUCGGGAAGUGGGAAGAAGAGUGCAAGAGAGAUGGGGCGUGAGGAAUGAAGGGAUGAGGGUUGAAAAGCUUGUAUCGCAGGGAGAAGAAGGAGAGUACGGGGAGAAGAAGCCCAGGCUAAGUCCGUGCAAAAAGGCGGGGAAAUAAGAGAAGAGAAAACGGCGAAAC